GACGAAGGAUGCAAGCGUUAUCCGGAUUCAUUGGGUUUAGAGGGAGCGUAGGUGGCCUUAUAAGUCAGUGGUGAAAUCUCUCAGCUUAACUGAGAAAUUGCCAUUGAUACUGUAGGGCUUGAGUAUAGUUGCCGUUGGCGGAAUAUGACAUGUAGUGGUGAAAUACAUAGAGAUGUCAUAGAACACCGAUUGCGAAGGCAGCUGACGAAACUAUAACUGACACUGAGGCUCGAAAGUGCGGGGAUCAAACAGG
rnacentral:rRNA from 1 species